CAGUCAUGCUAGUGAAAAAUCAGUUUGACGGGUUUUGAGUUCGGGAGUAGAGGCAGGGUCAAACCGUUUCUCUUUUGAACUUGGGAUUUGUUAGAUGUACUUUUUCUUUGGCAGGUCAGCGUCGAUUUCGGAGGUUGUAAAAUACUUGGGGGAAAGUAACUCUGCUUCGGGAGAGUAUUAUAGACCCUGGGGGAUGCAGCCUGCGGGAUCGAGGAUUGCAGCAAAUGUCUUUUUUGGCUUGUCGCCUGAUCUUUGGACGUCACCUCGCUUGUAUCAACUAUUCUUGGUACCGGUGAGUAAUGGUGCUCA
rnacentral:rRNA from 1 species